rnacentral:rRNA from 1 species
AUUGAACGCUGGCGGCAGGCCUAACACAUGCAAGUCGAGCGGAAGAAGGGAGCUUGCUCCUGGAUUCAGCGGCGGACGGGUGAGUGAUGCCUAGGAAUCUCCCUGGUAGUGGGGUAUAACGUCCGGAAACGGGCGCUAAUACCGCAUACGUCCUGAGGGAGAAAGUGGGGGAUCUUCGGACCUCACGCUCUCAGAUGAGCCUAGGGCGGAUUAGCUAGUUGGUGGGGUAAAGGCCUACCAAGGCGACGAUCCGUAACUGGUCUGAGAGGAUGAUCAGUCACACUGGAACUGAGACACGGUCCAGACUCCUACGGGAGGCAGCAGUGGGGAAUAUUGGACAAUGGGCGCAAGCCUGAUCCAGCCAUGCCGCGUGUGUGAAGAAGGUCUUCGGAUUGUAAAGCCCUUUAAGUUGGGAGGAAGGGCAGUAAGUUAAUACCUUGCUGUUUUGACGUUACCAACAGAAUAAGCACCGGCUAACUUCGUG